CAGUAGCCGCGGGAAUACGUAGGGUGCGAGUGUUAAUCGGAAUUACUGGGCGUAAAGCGUGCGCAGGCGGUUGUGUAAGACAGGUGUGAAAUCCCCGGGCUUAACCUGGGAACUGCGCUUGUGACUGCACAGCUAGAGUAUGGCAGAGGGGGGUGGAAUUCCACGUGUAGCAGUGAAAUGCGUAGAGAUGUGGAGGAACACCGAUGGCGAAGGCAGCCCCCUGGGCCAAUACUGACGCUCAUGCACGAAAGCGUGGGGAGCAAACAGGAUUAGAUACCCCUGUAGUCCCUGUCUCUUAUAC
rnacentral:rRNA from 1 species